rnacentral:rRNA from 1 species
UACGUAGGGGGCAAGCGUUGUCCGGAUUUAUUGGGCGUAAAGAGCGUGUAGGCGGCUUUACAGGUCCGUUGUGAAAACUCGAGGCUCAACCUCGAGACGCCGGUGGAAACCGUAAGGCUAGAGUCCGGAAGAGGAGAGUGGAAUUCCGUGGAUGUAGCGGUGAAAUGCGCAGAUAUCAGGAGGAACACCCGUGGCGAAAGCGGCUCUCUGGGACGGUACUGACGCUGAGACGCGAAAGCGUGGGGAGCAAACAGG